rnacentral:rRNA from 1 species
AGCGAACGCUGGCGGCAGGCCUAACACAUGCAAGUCGAACGGAUCCUUCGGGAUUAGUGGCGGACGGGUGAGUAACACGUGGGAACGUGCCCUGUGGUUCGGAACAACUCAGGGAAACGACUGCUAAUACCGGAUGAUGACGAAAGUCCAAAGAUUUAUCGCCCUGGGAGCGGCCCGCGUCUGAUUAGCUAGUUGGUGGGGUAAUAGCCUACCAAGGCGACGAUCAGUAGCUGGUCUGAGAGGAUGAUCAGCCACAUUGGGACUGAGACACGGCCCAAGCUCCUACGGGAGGCAGCAGUGGGGAAUCUUGCGCAAUGGGCGAAAGCCUGACGCAGCCAUGCCGCGUGAAUGAUGAAGGUCUUAGGAUUGUAAAAUUCUUUCACCGGGGACGAUAAUGACGGUACCCGGAGAAGAAGCCCCGGCUAACUUCGUGCCAGCCGCCGCGGUAACAC